rnacentral:rRNA from 1 species
UACGUAGGGUGCGAGCGUUAAUCGGAAUUACUGGGCGUAAAGCGUGCGCAGGUGGUCAUGUAAGACAGAUGUGAAAUCCCCGGGCUUAACCUGGGAAUUGCAUUUGUGACUGCAUGGCUAGAGUGUGGCAGAGGGGGAUGGAAUUCCGCGUGUAGCAGUGAAAUGCGUAGAGAUCUGGAGGAACACCGAUGGCGAAGGCAGCCUUCUGGGCCAAUACUGACGCUCAUGCACGAAAGCGUGGGGAGCAAACAGG